CAGCCGCCGCGGUAAUACGGAGGGUGCAAGCGUUAAUCGGAAUUACUGGGCGUAAAGCGUGCGCAGGCGGUUAUAUAAGUCAGAUGUGAAAUCCCCGGGCUCAACCUGGGAACUGCAUUUGAGACUGUAUGGCUAGAGUGUGUCAGAGGGGGGUAGAAUUCCACGUGUAGCAGUGAAAUGCGUAGAUAUGUGGAGGAACACCGAUGGCGAGGGCAGCCCCCUGGGUCAAGAUUGACGCUCAUGCACGAAAGCGUGGGGAGCAAACAGAAUUAGAUACCCGCGUAGUCCCUGUCUCUUAACA
rnacentral:rRNA from 1 species